GCUGGGCGCGGUGGUGCACGCCUGUAAUCCCAGUGGCUUGGGAGGCUGAGAUAGGAGGAUUGCAAGUUCAAAGCCAGCCACAGAAAAAGUGAGGCACUAAGCAACUCAGCGAGACCCUGUCUCUA
rnacentral:sRNA from 1 species